rnacentral:rRNA from 1 species
UGGGGAAUAUUGGACAAUGGGCGAAAGCCUGAUCCAGCCAUGCCGCGUGAGUGACGAAGGCCUUAGGGUUGUAAAACUCUUUCGUCGGGGACGAUAAUGACGGUACCCGAAGAAGAAGCUCCGGCUAACUUCGUGCCAGCAGCCGCGGUAAUACGAAGGGAGCUAGCGUUGUUCGGAAUCACUGGGCGUAAAGCGCACGUAGGCGGAUAGUUAAGUCAGGGGUGAAAUCCUGGGGCUCAACCCCAGAACUGCCUUUGAUACUGGCUGUCUCGAGGUCGAGAGAGGUUGGUGGAAUUCCUAGUGUAGAGGUGAAAUUCGUAGAUAUUAGGAAGAACACCGGUGGCGAAGGCGGCUCACUGGCUCGAUACUGACACUGAGGUGCGAAAGCGUGGGGAGCAAACAGGAUUAGAUACCCUCGUAGUCCCUGAGCGGGCUGGCAAGGCGCAU